CGCCGGGCUCGAUAGCAACAUCGUCCUUAACCGGACUUUCCAUCUUUGGGUUCAUAACCCAAAGGUCGUAGGUUCAAAUCCUACCCCCGCAACCA
rnacentral:tRNA from 1 species